rnacentral:misc_RNA from 1 species
GAUGAAGAACGUAGUGAAAUGCGAUAAGUAAUGCGAAUUGCAGAAUUCCAGUGAGUCAUCGAAUCUUUGAACGCACAUUGCGCCCUUUGGUAUUCCGAAGGGCAUGCCUGUUCGAGCGUCAUUAUCACCCCUCAAGCCCUCGGCUUGGUGUUGGACGGUUUGGUGGAGGCCCCCUCGGGGGCUCCUGCCCCUCCCAAAGACAAUGACGGCGGCCUCGUUGGACCCCCGGUACACUGAGUUCUUCACGGGACACGUAUCGGACACAUGGGUUUACGGGACACGGUCUGCCUCCCCUCAGGGAGAAUCUUUCUAAGGUUGACCUCGGAUCAGGUAGGGAUACCCGCUGAACUUAAGCAUAUCAAUAAGCGGAGGA